UCUGAUCAAGGAUGAUUCCUUUUUUUGAUGGUGACUGCUGGAUGACACUUGCGGAUAUGGGACUGAGAUCUGAA
ensembl:snoRNA